UUCNAUGGGGGCACCCUGACGCAGCAACGCCGCGUGAGCGAGGAAGGCCUUCGGGUCGUAAAGCUCUGUCUAGUGGGAAAAAAGUCUUCCGGUAAAUAGUCGGAAGAUCUGAUGGUACCGCUGGAGGAAGCACCGGCUAACUCCGUGCCAGCAGCCGCGGUAAUACGGAGGGUGCAAGCGUUGUUCGGAAUUAUUGGGCGUAAAGGGCGUGUAGGCGGUUUGGUAAGUCAGAUGUGAAAGCCCUGGGCUUAACCCAGGAAGUGCAUUUGAAACUACCAUUCUUGAGUAUGGGAGAGGAGAGUGGAAUUCCCAGUGUAGAGGUGAAAUUCGUAGAUAUUGGGAGGAACACCCGUGGCGAAGGCGACUCUCUGGACCAAUACUGACGCUGAUACGCGAAAGCGUGGGGAGCAAACAGGAUUAGAUACCCUGGUAGUCCACGCCGUAAACGAUGAGAACUAGGUGUAGCGGGUAUUGACCCCUGCUGUGCCGUAGCUAACGCAUUAAGUUCUCCGCCUGGGGAGUACGGCCGCAAGGCUAAAACUCAAAGGAAUUGACGA
rnacentral:rRNA from 1 species